UACGAAGGGCCCGAGCGUUAAUCGGAAUCACUGGGCUUAAAGGGUGCGUAGGCGGACUCGCAAGUACUUUGUGAAAUCCCAGAGCUCAACUCUGGAAUGGCUUGGUAGACUGCGAGUCUUGAGCUCGACAGAGGCCAUCGGAACUCUAGGUGGAGCGGUGAAAUGCGUAGAUAUCUAGAGGAACGCCGAAGGUGAAGACAGGUGGCUGGGUCGACGCUGACGCUGAGGCACGAAAGCGUGGGUAGCGAACGGG
rnacentral:rRNA from 1 species